GUGAAUCAUCGAAUUUUUGAACGCAAAUUGCACUUUCUGGUAUUCCGGAAAGUAUGUCUGUUUGAGGGUAUGUUAAAUAAAAAUCGGUGUUGUUGCUGCGUUUCGUGGUUACGCGAUGGAAUCGAGUUGUCUUAUUUUCGUUUAAGUGACUUAAAAUUUUGUAUUGUUUUCGAACGUAUUUAUAUUUCUUACGUAUGUUCGCGAUUUCGAUUACGUUA
rnacentral:misc_RNA from 1 species